UACGUAGGGUGCAAGCGUUGUCCGGAAUUAUUGGGCGUAAAGAGCUCGUAGGCGGUUUGUCGCGUCUGCUGUGAAAACUCGGGGCUUAACCCCGGGCCUGCAGUGGGUACGGGCAGACUAGAGUGCGGUAGGGGAGACUGGAAUUCCUGGUGUAGCGGUGAAAUGCGCAGAUAUCAGGAAGAACACCGGUGGCGAAGGCGGGUCUCUGGGCAGUAACUGACGCUGAGGAGCGAAAGCGUGGGGAGCGAACAGG
rnacentral:rRNA from 1 species